rnacentral:misc_RNA from 1 species
AAGUCGUAACAAGGUUUCCGUAGGUGAACCUGCGGAAGGAUCAUUCGAUUGUAACUUGAUACCUUUUGGACAGAGGUCCCGAAUCAACACUUUUCCGCCAUUGAUUUACCGGGAUUGCAGUUCCUCCUGGGCUACAAGAGCGUCUGAAAGUUCACAGGGUUGUUACGUGUUAGAGCUAGGAGCAGUGGCAUGGUUUCCCUAAGCAGUGCAGAAGGAUCCACUGAGUAAGGAUAACGCAUCACGGUUGCAGAGGUCGAUCACCGGCCGGCAGACAUGUCACAGGGCUUUAAGCCCCUUCAUUCACCCCUUGCCUAAUCAAGCCCCGCGGACACGCGGGCAAAAAAAUCUGAACAACUGUUAACAAUGGAUAUCUUGGUUCUC